rnacentral:rRNA from 1 species
GACGAACCGUGCGAACGUUGCUCGGAAUCACUGGGCUUAAAGGGCGCGUAGGCGGCAGAUCAAGUCCGGGGUGAAAGCCCCCAGCUCAACUGGGGAAGUGCCUUGGAUACUGAUUUGCUCGAGGGAGGUAGGGGUCGAGGGAACUUCUGGUGGAGCGGUGAAAUGCGUUGAUAUCAGAAGGAACGCCGGUGGCGAAAGCGCUCGACUGGAUCUCUUCUGACGCUGAGGCGCGAAAGCUAGGGGAGCAAACGGG